GCUGGAUUGACGACUCAGUGGUAAAGACACUUGCCCCAAAGCCCAACCACCCAGAUCUGUGGCACAGCCAAGCGGUCACCAUCUUGGGCAGAAGUUCCGAGAUAGAUGCAGAUCCUAAGGAGAGAGCCACCCCAUCAUACCUCAAAAGGGCCCCAGCU